GAUUCCGUAGCGCUGUACAAAAGGGGCUAGUUAUCCAGGGUUAUUGACUACAUUAACACAUGUGAACAAACUAAAUCUAAAUUGAUAAAAUUAUUACAAUGUAACCAAACGGUAAAUGAAGCUGUCUUGAAGAAUUCUUCCCAAUCAGAUAGCUUGGCUUAAAAUUAAACAUUCUCUUUGAAUUCUUGAUCAUUCACUCUUUAGUAGAUUCUAAAUUGUUAAGUUUUGG